GACAAUUUGAAAAUUUUUGAGCGGAUACAAAUAUACUUCAAGUCAGCAAAAUACAUGCUAAAAUUCUCUAACAGUCUCAGAGUCUAACUUUUACUGCUAUUGCUAUUAUUAGAGUUAACAAUUUGUUAAGCUUUGGCCUUCACCAAAUUUUGUUAUCUAGGAUUUAGCCAGAGCAUUAUUAUCGCCAAUUACCUUGCAUCAUUCAUCGGAAUUUAAGAUAGUACACAUAAAAUAGAUAGAAGCCUAAUCUUGAGUUCUUUAUUAAACAAUGUCAAACCGACAUGACUUUUACUUGGAUCAUCCAAGACCAAACGCCAUCAAUGGCAUCAAAAACCUCUAUAAGGUACCAAUGUAACCACCACCUUAAAGUAAAAUCUGAACCAUCUCCAUAGGUUCCACGAUUAGUCUAUUUUCAUAGUACUAUGCAUUCUGCCAGUAAUAUAUCCUUAAGCAUUCUGCAAGAAUUCCAGUUAAUAGCAAAGCAAAACCAACCUAAAAAUAUGGUAUAAUUGAUUCUAAAAGAGUCAAAAUCACCUUCGUUAAGGUGAGAAAUGCAACAAUAAAGACAAGGAUUACUGAUACCCCCUUUUCUCAUCUAUUCAACCUUUUACCAAACCAUAUUAAAACUAACCAAUCCAAUUCAAAAUAUUCUGAUCUUAAUCACCCUUAUAAUUUAUCUAGCUCAUCGGUAACAAAUAAGCUAAUAUACUAAUACCCAAUCGAUGAUAAUCAUGAUUUCAAAACAAAGAUCUUAGUAAAAUAUACAAUUUAAGGGAGCAUUUUAUGAUGAUUAUUCAUAUAUUAAUCCAACU
rnacentral:lncRNA from 1 species